rnacentral:lncRNA from 1 species
CAUACGAGGAAUUAACGAGUAUUCCAUUUAAAUCCCUAAAACCCGAAACCCCAAACCCCAAACCCCAUAUUCCUUAUCUUCUACUUCAUAUAUUCCAAACCCUAUCUUUAUUUUCAUUCCAAACCACAAUUACUUAUUUUCAUUCACUCAGAGAGUCUUACGUGGAAUUAGCGUGCUCCACUUUCUUUAUUUUUUUUUAAUUUCGUCGUAAACUCCUCGUGGCCUUACGACAACCUUACGACGAUUUUGGCUUACGAGGAAUUAACGAGUAUUACGUAUAAAUCCC